rnacentral:lncRNA from 1 species
CCAUACGACCAAAUACUCAUUACAAACUCUCUCCAAUCGUCCGCACCGUUGAAAACCGCGUUCCCCAAUGCUAUCGUGCGCCUUUCUCCGGAAGUAAAUGUCUAACCCAUUCUACGCUCGCACUACAAAGUAAAUAAAUCGAUCAAUCAAAUUAUACAACUCUACUCGGUUUCAGUUUAAUUUAAUAAAAGAAUAUGGGUGGUGGUGGAGCGCAGUCGCAGCAGGCGGAUCCGACGGAGGAGCAGUAUGUGAAGGCCAAGGUUUCGGUGUGGUGGGACAUCGAGAAUUGCCAGGUGCCGAAGAACUGCGAUCCACACGGGAUUGCGCAGAAUAUAAGUUCGGCUCUUGUAAAGAUAAACUACUGUGGGCCUCUUUCAAUAUCAGCGUAUGGUGAUACCACCAAAAUAUCCCCCGCCGUUCAGCAGGCGCUUAAUAGUACCGGUAUCGGCCUCAAUCACGUCCCUGCAGGUACCUAUCUAUAAAUAUGUCUCUGGACGUUUGAUUUAUGUAUGCGUCGAUGUAUUUAUGUCUCAAGAUUUGUAAGUUUUUUUGAUAAAAUUUGUGGAGAGGACUUGAGAUCCAGUUAAAUUCGAUUGAUUGAGAUGGGAUGGGUGAAACAAUGGUAUUGGGGAUUAGUUGAUUCUACCGGUUGUGUUGUUAGUCUCAGAAUUUUUUAGUUUGGGUGGUUUAAUUUUGUUGAUCUUGCAUUUCUAGGACUAUGCGGCUGGUAAUUAUGUUGGUUUUUUUAUUUUUUUAUUUAUUUUUAUUUUAUAACUGCGUGUCAAAUAUUCUAAUCUUGAUGAGUUUCGUGUGUCAGAUGGGAGACAGAGUGAGUCAAAGGAGUGAAAUUGGGCAGCCAUUUUUUUUGCUUAUGUGAUUUCCUAUAUUAAAUUUCAGUUUUUAGCCUGUAGAUCUGUUGACUUUUGCGAUUUUCAGAUCUAUUGACUCUAGCCUGUGAUUUCCUACAUUAAAAAUUUCAGUUUUUAGCCUGUAGAUCUGCUGACUUUUGCGGUUAUAGCGUGGUUAUGAUGGUGUUGCGAGAGAUAAUAAUCGUGCCAUAGAUUUUUACAUGUGUUAAUGAGUUCAUCUGGCGUCACGAUCUAGUCUAAUACUUUCUCUUUCUCUUUCUCUGAUUACUUUUGUGGCUGCAUGCAUUAUUUUGUGGCUACUAGAUCUUUGGUCGUGGGUUCAUGUCUCGGUGCAGUCCAGAGAAACUUUUAUAUGUGAUUGAUAAUGUUCAGUGACGCCAUUCAUGGGACGUCAUAGGUUUUAUAUGAACUAGUCAAAGUUGAAUGUGUAUUGCACGUUAUUCUAAAAUACUUUAUAAGUGAUGUAAAAGUAUAUUUGAUAUCAAUUUGUUGGAGGAUUUGAUGAGUCUCAAGCGAAUUAAAGAAAAUCAAAUUUAGUAUAGAAAUUUAAGAGAAGAAAAUUGUACUCUCAAAACUCAAUUUUUAUGAUUCAAUUUUUUUGUAAUGAGGAAAUACUAUAAAUGAACAAUCUUUUUAUAUUACAUUUGUUACAUAAAAAUUAAUUGUUAAUACAUAAAUUUAAA